rnacentral:rRNA from 1 species
CCGAGUUUACAACUCCCAAACCCAAUGUGAACGUUACCAAACUGUUGCCUCGGCGGGAUCUCUGCCCCGGGUGCGUCGCAGCCCCGGACCAAGGCGCCCGCCGGAGGACCAACCAAAACUCUUUUUGUAUACCCCCUCGCGGGUUUUUUAUAAUCUGAGCCUUCUCGGCGCCUCUCGUAGGCGUUUCGAAAAUGAAUCAAAACUUUCAACAACGGAUCUCUUGGUUCUGGCAUCGAUGAAGAACGCAGCGAAAUGCGAUAAGUAAUGUGAAUUGCAGAAUUCAGUGAAUCAUCGAAUCUUUGAACGCACAUUGCGCCCGCCAGUAUUCUGGCGGGCAUGCCUGUCCGAGCGUCAUUUCAACCCUCGAACCCCUCCGGGGGGUCGGCGUUGGGGAUCGGCCCUGCCUCUUGGCGGUGGCCGUCUCCGAAAUACAGUGGCGGUCUCGCCGCAGCCUCUCCUGCGCAGUAGUUUGCACACUCGCAUCGGGAGCGCGGCGCGUCCACAGCCGUUAAACACCCAACUUCUGAAAUGUUGACCUCGGAUCAGGUAGGAAUACCCGCUGAACUUAAGCAUAUCAAUAGGCCGGAGGAAA